CCGGUCUGAACUCAGAUCACGUAAGAUUUAUUUGGGCGAACAGACCAACUCUUAUAAAUUUUUUCUUUAUAAGUUGUUCUUAAUCCGACAUCGAGGUCGCAAUUUAUUUUGUAAAUGAGAACUUCUCAAAAAUUUUGCGCUGUUAUCCCUUAGGUAACUUGUUUUAUUUCAUAUUUGGAUAAUUUAAUUUGAUUUAAAUCAUUUUUUUAUAUCUAAAGAUUUAUUUAUUUAAAAAUCUCCCCAAUCUAACAAAUUAACCAAAUGAAAUUAAGUUAAUUUGUAAAGUUCUAAAGGGUCUUCUUGUCUUUUGAUUUUAUUUAAGAUUUUUCACUUAAAUAUUAAUUUUUACUACUUUAGUUUAAAAAGCUUGUUUCACAUUAUUUCUUUCAUUCAAGCUUUUAAUUAUAAAGCAACUUAUUAUGCUACCUUAGUACAGUUAAUUUACUGCAGCUAUUUAAUUUACUCAUUGAGCAGAAUUUAUCUAAAAUCUUUUUCUUUAAACUAUGUUUUUGUUAAACAGGCG
rnacentral:rRNA from 1 species